rnacentral:lncRNA from 1 species
CAGACAAGCCUCAUCUAAAUAGUCAUUCUCACCAAUUCCCAAGUCUGAACUGACCAGUUUUUAUAGUCUAGCAUGACUCACCUGGGUCACACAAAAUUCAAUUAGAUUAAAAGAUUUACCUGUUCAGUGAGAAUAAAAUUUGGGUUAGAGAUUCAGAACUUUAUCCCAACAAAGCUGAGUUCCAUGUCUCAGAUGUAUCUUUU